AGGUGAGGCCAGAGGCAGGGCCACUCACUAGCAGGCUGUUGGAAGAAGCCAGAAGAGGGGGUAGCAGGAGCCCCAUCAAGGCUGCAGCACUAAGGAUAUGGACAGGGGGUGUCUGGAAUGGCCAUGGCCUGGGGUGUGGGCUGGUGGGUGGGGGGGGCAGCCUUGGGGCACGGGAGCUGAUAGACCAGACUCGAGAGUUCUACUCCUGACUUCUAGAUUGUUCCACCUCCAUAUGGAAUAUGUUCCUUCCAUCUAACACUGUGUGAUUUGGGGACCAUCCAACUCAAAUGAAAGAAGCCAAGCCAUGCAGCGAGCCACCCCCUCCCCAAUGUGGGGUACCCCCUGCCCCCCAGCUCCCCUGCCCUCCCAGCUGAGAGGGGAUCGCCGCCUGGUGAUCUCAACCUCCCCUCCAAGUGGGCUGUGAAGUGUCUAAUCCAGGCUUUCAUCUGGCAUCCACA
rnacentral:lncRNA from 1 species